UACGAAGGGGGCUAGCGUUGCUCGGAAUUACUGGGCGUAAAGCGCGCGCAGGCGGUUCUUCAAGUCAGAGGUGAAAGCCCAGAGCUCAACUCUGGAAUGGCCUUUGAGACUAGAGAACUAGGGUACGGGAGAGGUGAGUGGAAUUCCGAGUGUAGAGGUGAAAUUCGUAGAUAUUCGGAAGAACACCAGUGGCGAAGGCGGCUCACUGGUCCGUUACCGACGCUCAGGCGCGACAGCGUGGGGAGCAAACAGG
rnacentral:rRNA from 1 species